rnacentral:snoRNA from 1 species
GGGGUGUGCUCAGAGCAGGGGCCUGAAGAGUGGCUGGGCUGUUUUUUAAAAUCCCCCAUGUUUAUAACACACCCAAUAGGAAUCUGGGGCCAUUGUGAGGAGGGGCACAAGAUAUGUGUCCUUCUAUGAACAAAUGCCCUACAUAU